GACCAAAUCAAGUCUCUCCAAUAUUGCUAAAGAAAAAAAUCGCUCUGGACUUUGCUCCCAGCACCAGCACCAAUCAAUUCUCUCUCCUAAGCGACAGCACGCCAAAUAACGGAAAUGAAGACGAAACUGAAACACUGGAUAUAAUAACUGAAGACACCUUAGAUGAAUCUGCCAAGCCACCACCUAUAUUCCUAUCUGAAGUCAACGAUAUUAAAGGAAUGCUAGCUUAUCUCGAGUCUAAAAUUAAAAAACAGCUCUUCUUUUAUAAAGUACAACGCGAUGGUCAUGUGAGAGUAAUGGUAAAGACCAUUGAAGAAUACAGGAAACUUGUUAAAACCCUUACUACAGACCUUGUCAAAUUCCACACAUACCAGCUUAAACAAGAAAGGGCAUUCAGAGUCGUUAUUAAGAACUUGCACUUCUCUACGGAUAUCGAUUUAAUUAAACAAGAUGUACAGUCCAAAGGCCACACUAUAUUGAGCCCAACAAUAAGAACUUAGACAUUUACAAAGUUAAAUAUAUUGGUAACGCUGUUGUUAACAUAGAACCUCCCCGCAAAACUAAAGAGAUCGUUCAGUGCUAUCGAUGCCAGGAAUUUAGACACACAAAGUCAUAUUGUGCCAAAACUCACAGGUGCGUGAAAUGUUCUUCUAACCACCCCAGCAACAUUUGUCCAAAAGAUAAAGAGCAACCAGCAAAAUGUGCCAAUUGCAAAGAAGAUCAUGCUGCUAGCUACAAAGGGUGCAAAGUCUAUCAGGAACUUAUAUCAAAAAAAUUUGUAAGCGGACUCAACCACCUGAAAAACACCAAAGAUAACAAUAAUAAAAAUGACCUUGGUACAUCUCAA